GUGAACCCCUGUGGCAAAACACCCUCCCCACCACCCGCGCUGGGCUCCAGGGAGAGGGACAAGCCAGCCCAGCUCCAGGGCAGUGGGUCAGCAGGGUCCCAUUUUGUAGGGGAACUCCGUGAAGGUCAAGAUGUCACCUAGUGAAGAUGUUUUUGUUUUUUAAUCUGCGUUAAAAAAAAACCCCAAACUAGGAAACUGCAGCCAAAAAAUGAAGUCAACGAUGUGCUUUGCCACCUGCAGGGUGCUCCAGGGUGGUCUGAGUCUGAACUUCAGCUCUCCAGGGGGGCUCAGCCAGCAGCUGCCGGGAAGCACUGGGGGGACCAGCAGGCACCCACCGCAGCGGUUCACCCCACUGGAAGCCCCGGUCCCAAACUACAUCGUGCGACCGAGAGUUAAUUUUGAUUCUCUGUGCCUCAGUUGCCAGCAGCCUUUGGACUUUCCCUGCUCCAUCAGCCCCUCCCAGAUGGCAAGAGCAGCUCCUCAGCUGCCGACUGCGUUGUCUUCUCCAUCUGGCAGUGGGCAGUGGCUUCUGCACCGGUGGCAUGGCAUUGAGCCGAGAUGCUGCUGAAGGUCACACCUUGAAUGCCUGCCAGCCAGGCUAUGAGAAGGUGGGCCCCUUCUCCUUGAAGCCGUUUUCCAUCCGUUCCCAAGCACCAGCUGUAGGAAAUGAUGUUUUCUGUUGUGCAGGGGCUCUGUGGUCCUGAAACGGGGCCAGGAGAUGCUGCAGCUUCCUGCUGCACCCUGCCUGGGCAUCCCCACUGGAGCAGUAAUUUUGUCUCCUAUUUCUAGGCAAAGUUAAAAUUGAAACGAAGCCACAGGAAAUGAGCAAACCAAAUACAAAUGUUUUCAAAAGUGGAA